CUAAAAAAUGAGACUCGACGAUUCAGAGCUUAGUGCGAUAUUGAAUCAAUUGAACGUGUUUACUUGAGCUUCCUUUAAAGUUAUCAAAUCAAACUUCAAAAUGCUGAUCAACCGACAUUCCUGUUCGAAACUACUUUUUUUGAUGGUUUGGCUGUGCUUGGCAUUUGACUUGAAACCUGUCUCGGCCGGGAAGUGUUGUGUUGGCUCUAAAAAGUAAAAAAAAAAACUAAAAGUCAAAUUGUGUCACUAUGUCACUAACUAUAUUGAUUACACCAAAUAAAUAAUUUUUGAGCAUAGCUUGGGUUGUUUUUACUAAAGCUUUAUAGCUAACUUAACAACCAUUCAUGAUUAGCUUCCCAGUCAGAUGAGCAUCCUGAGGAUCGAUGUAAAACGCAUAUCUCAUUUUCUAAGUGACUUUUUACGAAGUAACCUGAGCUCGAGCCAUAACCUGCCUAAUAAAUGUCAGCAAUUUGAGCAAAUAA
rnacentral:sRNA from 1 species